CCGAAGUGGAGAAGGGUUUCUCGAGAACGGCACUCGCUCGAGAGUUAGUCGAUCCUAAGCUGCCGGCGGCAGCCACGAAACGGUCGAUCGGGCGCGAGCCCGGCAGCCACGACCGGGCAGCGAAGGGAAUUGGGAACCUCCUUCCCAACCCGGAACCGGAACGAGGGCGGCGACGCGAACGAAACGGCCGCGGAGACGGCGGCCGCGGCCCCGGAGAGAGUUCUCUUUUCUGUGCGACUGGACGUCGGCCCCGGAAUCGCGUCGAGCGGAGGGGGGUCGGAGUUCAGGAAUAGCACCCCGGCCUUUCGGGGUGUCCGGGGCGGCCGCGGUCGUCCCAUGAAAAUCCGCGGAUGAACGAGUAGGCGACGGUCCGGGUCGUACCAAUGACCGCAUCGGGUCUCCAAGGUUGAAAGCCUCUGGCUAACGGGAC
rnacentral:rRNA from 1 species